AACGAACGCUGGCGGCAGGCUUAACACAUGCAAGUCGAGCGGACCCUUCGGGGUCAGCGGCGGACGGGUGAGUAACGCGUGGGAACGUGCCCGAAGGUACGGAAUAGCCCCGGGAAACUGGGAGUAAUGCCGUAUGUGCCUGUUCAGAUUCCAGAUGACAGAUUGCGGAUGGCGGAGGCGCGGGAGCGUCCGGCUGGUCUGCAGUUGGGUUUCUGUCAUCUGCAGUCUGGACCGGGAAAGAUUUAUCGCCUUCGGAUCGGCCCGCGUCGGAUUAGGUAGUUGGUGGGGUAACGGCCCACCAAGCCGACGAUCCGUAGCUGGUUUGAGAGGAUGAUCAGCCACACUGGGACUGAGACACGGCCCAGACUCCUACGGGAGGCAGCAGUGGGGAAUCUUGGACAAUGGGGGCAACCCUGAUCCAGCCAUGCCGCGUGAGCGAUGAAGGCCUUAGGGUUGUAAAGCUCUUUCAGCGGGGAAGAUAAUGACGGUACCCGCAGAAGAAGCCCCGGCUAACUCCGUGCCAGCCGCCGCCGUAAAAC
rnacentral:rRNA from 1 species